GAAUGACAAUUAAUUUAACUUGGGAGUCAGAACAUGGGUGAUAAGGUCCGUGUUCGAAAGUGAAACAGCCCAGACCACCAGCUAAGGUCCCAAAAUAUAUGUUAAGUGGAAAAGGAUGUGGCGUUGCACAGACAACUAGGAUGUUGGCUUAGAAGCAGCCAUCAUUAAAAGAGUGCGUAAUAGCUCACUAGUCGAGUGACACUGCGCCGAAAAUGUACCGGGGCUAAAC
rnacentral:rRNA from 1 species